GAUGAGCUAAAAUGUGUGUAGGCCUUGCAACACCUAUCAGGAGCAGAGUCAGACAGCACAGAGCCUGCUGCCUUGCAAUGACUCAGAACGCCAUGGAGCAGCCCUGAACACAAAUUUACUACAGAGUCCAUUCUUUGAAGAAUCAAGAGCAGAAUCUUGCAGAAAUGACAGGUACAUCAGGUCAAGCUCUAUACAAAUGGCAGUAAAAGACACCUCUGUCUGCAGCCUGAGCAGCCAGACUUGUAAGCAAACAGAUAAUCAGAACCUGAAGUGCUCUCCCACUCUAAUGAAAAUUCAAGAUACUGAACGUGGAUGGAAAUGCUCCAGCUUGGCUGAGAGCACAGCCCCUGAGCUUCCCAGGACCUUCACGGAACACAGGAACCGGUGGGGAAGCAAGUGAACACACACAUAUGAAGCAGCCAAUGUGUCAGAUCAGACAUUUUCCUUGCUGAAAAAUAAAACAGGGACGGUACUACAAGCAGGGAUCCUGCAAGACAGAUUAAUCAUUCUGCCUGGAACAACUGUUAGCACCAUUCCUGAGCAGAAGCUUUCCAUGAACGCCCAGCAGGGA